GCAUGCUCAGUGCGCGGCCGGAGAAGGAGAGCGCUGGGGCGCAGCACCUGCUAGGUGCUGCUGAGAGGAGGCAGCCCCAGGUCCCUAACGCGCGAAAUUAGGAAAGGGCACCUCUCCUGAUUCUUAGGCAAGAGAAGAUUAUCAACGUGCAGCGACGUAGGGGUUGUGCUGUUCAGCGGCUAGGGAUAAGCCGAGACGAUUCUCCUUCGUUUGCAACCCUAAUGUCGGGGCACCAGGAGGCGCGACCUUCCUUGGUACCCGAACCUCUGGCCUCCGGGAGACGCGGAAUUCGGGGGAUCGUUAAGGCGCACUGGCCAUGGAAACAAAUGCUUCUGCUCUGGGCUGAAAAUUGUCGAACCAGGGAAUGUGGGUGGGCGGGUGGCAUUGAACUCAAGCCAGAAGAGGGGCUCUGGGAGGUUUUUACCUGCCUGUCCUUAGGCGAAGGACAUUGGCUAGACAGGCUACGUUACAGACCUGAAGUCUCACCCAUGCAACAUGCUUUCAGAAGUGGCUCCCUUCGCCCCAACUCCAAACCUCAGGGUAACCGUAGAGAUUGGCUGCAAUGCCCCAGCCCCUAACCAGCACUGUGCAAAGUGACUUUGACAGGCAGAGAAAAGCCAACCCAGUCGAACUCGUCUGGAAAGCAUUUCCAGCAACCCAGAGGAGCCUCUGUUUCUCUCUCUGGGAAAAAGCCCCAGGGGUUUUGCUGAACCCAGGUCUUCCUGCUCAUCUCUCAGCAGUUCAGAGCUACAUAAACAACUUCUGACCACUUACACAAUCAUGUAAACCUACCCUGACAUCUCCAUUAUGUGUAAACGAUGUUAACUGGAAAACUAUUUUUAAACUACUGUAGUAAGCAAAUAAACAUCCAACUCCAACAUGUAUGUGCAGCAGCUUUAU
rnacentral:lncRNA from 1 species